AAGACACCGAUUGGUGAUGUCUUUUCAAUAUCUAUCGGAGAAAAAGUACCUUUCAGUAUUAUGGUAAGAUCCUAAAACCCUUCUGUAUGUCUAGUGAUUGUUCAUUUUCUGGGGCAUCGAAAAGAAUUGUUUCUCCAACUACAUUACUACCAUCAAUGACGAGGCCUAGAUCAACGACCAACUCUGAUUCUCUCUUUUCUUCUCCGAAAUACUCUUGUGUAUUUCAAAUUCGGAGCCGAAAUCUGGUCAAAGAGAAACAUAACCCGAAAUUCAACCCGGUUGGCCAGCCAUUGAUGAAAGGUCUCUAAAGAUUGUAGUCUUCUUCGCUUCACAGUGAUGAAAUGCAUAGCCGGGGACGGAAUCACCUACUAUCUGGUUCGGCUUUCAAAUCUCUAGUUUCGGUUCUCAUGCUAGCCAUGUUCGCCACCAUGGCAUCGAUUUAUGUCACCGGCCCGUGAGUUCUCACACUGUAUCGUAUUGUGAAAUGAUUUUCAUUUCUUAGCUGUAAUAGUGUUUAUAGUGUGGUUAAUUUCGUUAAUUUAGGUUUUUGUUUUGUGAUGCUUUGAUUUUGAUUAUAAUUGGUCUAUGUUUUUCAAAAGAAAAAUUGUUUUUAUGGAAAUCUGUUAUUGGUAGGCUGUGGUUGGAUUCUGAGAAUAAGGUUUAUUUGAUUAAAGAGCUUGAUAUUGUUAUUCAAUUGUAGCUUCAACUUUUCUUCCCCACAGUUUGUUAAUGCAUUUUUUGGGACUGUUUUGUUAUUGAGACUAAAUUAUAGUGAUACAAAGAGGGUCUUGACAUUGAAUGGAACCAGAAUCAGUCCAUCAUGGUAUAUGUUCUAUAGCAUUACAUUACAAUGCCAAAUAAACUGGUGAUGUGCAUAAGCUCUUGCCUUUUUCUUUCUUUUAUUGAAACAAUCAGAGUUGAUACCAGCCGAUUUUCAUUUUUUGAAAUUAAUCAUUCAUAGUAAAAGAGGUAAAUAUCUAUACUUACCAUUUUAAUAGUUUUCAAGUGGAAUCAGCCAAUGACACUGAAAAUUACAGAGUAAUUGGGGUUCUUUUUUUGGGGCUUUUGUUAUAAUAGACAAAAUAUAAUCUAGAGGUCAUGGUGAUGGUUCUUCAAUUUUAUAGGAACAGCAGAAGUUAGCAGCCUUUGAGAUGGAGUUACUUGCAGUACAACAGGAAGAUUUUGUCUCAAAGAACUUGUCAGAAAAGAAGGAACUCCUCCUAAGAAAAAACAUUUAGCUGUUGUAGGAAUUAUAACAAAGUUUGGCCACAAGAACAAUAGAGAUGCAAUCCAUAAGACAUGGAUACCAACUGGUAGAAUACCCUUCUUUUUGUAAGUUUCUCUCUUUACUCUUUCUAUGAUUUACAUAGAGAAUGACCCAGUUGGCACUUAACAAAUUGACAUUUCUGUUAUAAGCAUAUAAGGGAUAAAAACAGGAGGCUUGUAGGCUGAACUCUUGUUAACAUGAAAACUUUUAGGGAACUUCCAUUUGUCUUCUAUUCUUUUUUCAUUGUUUUGUUUAUUUUCUCAGUUUGCAAUAGUCAUCUUUCAAUAGUUUGCAAACUCCAUCAACCAAUUUGAAAAGCCUUAGAGCUAACAAGUGCAAAUUAUGAGAAGCUAAAAUCUUGUUUCUCUAGGAUUUUUCUAAAGUUGCUCAAUUGAAUGGAAAGCAGAAAACCAUCAAGAGGCCCUGCCCUUGCCCCUGCCCUGCACCCUCUAUACUCCUGUUUACAGAAAUUUGGAGUUUGUCUUUAUUGUAAUAAGGGAGACAAUAGUCUGCAUAAUAAUGGAACAAAAAGUAAUAUUGUGAUUCACUGCUUCAAAAAGUAAUUUUGACAUAACUUAUGUGCUAAACUGCACUAAAAUGCUUAGCACAAAAAGUAUGUUAUUCUUCAUUUGAGAGCAUUACAUUGAACAUCAUAUGUUAGCAUCACUUUUGCCAUAACUAAUCUUUCUUUCUUUCUUUCUUUCCCCUUAUCCAAGACAAUGCAUAUUGAGUGAUUGAUACGUAAGUUAAUAGCCUUAGCACCCACAUGGGGUGAAGUUUGAAUCCAAAAUUUCCCAAUAGUCUUAAUACGCUUCCUCGGGUGUGUUCGAACUUAAGACAUCAAUGUUAAACCACCACCUUACCCAAAACCUUUAAGUUGCUCGGUAAUAGGCCAACAAUGGGAUAUUAAGGCGACUAAUAGGUAGGCUAAUAGCCUGAGCAAUUCUCUUAUAAUGUUUAAUGGUUCAAAUGUUGACAAUUAAAACAUUUACAAAAGCAUGAUGACUUAUCCAUCGUUUUCAUACAGAUACUCUAGAAGCAGCUCUUGCUCUACCCAUUUGAAUAAGCCUUGAGUUUAUAUUGGGUGUAUGAAAUCAGGUGAAGUUUUCUCAAAGUUGUGAGUAUAAUCAAAGGGUUUUUUUUUUUUCUUUUCUCUAAUGAUGAGAAAACGAGUUCUUUAUGAUAUUCUAUUUUCACAUAUUGUAUUAUCUUUUCAUAUUGUCUUAAUUAUGUAGGAUCCACAAGUAGUAAGAACUAGACUGGUAGAAAUUUGGUGAUGGAAAAUCAUGAGUAAUUCUGUAUUGAUUUCAUCUUGUCUCUUAUAUUAAGAUAAGUAAUUAUUACUUUCUAGUUCUGUUAACUAGUCAGGAAGUCUCUUAGUAUCUCCGAAUUCAUCUGAUAGGUGAUAGAAGUCCCAAUGAAUAACUAGGGCAUUGUCCCAUAAGAGGCUUGCUUGAUAGAGAGUUAGAGCACCAUUUCUGAAGUUUUUUGGGCAUUUAAACAAUUUAUCAUUCCAUCAUAUUCUUGACAUCUGUUACACUUGAUUUGCCCACCCUAUGCACCCAUAUUUAAACCAUCUCAAACUCUGAUUUGUGUUGAGGUAUCCUGGAGUUUGCAGAGGGACGCCUUCUCGGGAAGUCAGGCUUACAUUGGCUGAAUAUACAUUUAGAAAAUUUAUAUGCUGGUCGACUGGACAAGUUAUCAUACGAGGGUUGGGUAGCAUUUAUUGAGAAUCAUUUAGAAGAUAUAUUUGAUUCCACAGACAGACCUCUGGAAGGAAGACGUUGGUGGUUGUCUGCUGAGGAUCCUUUCCAAUGCUUGGCUGCAUGUAUUAAUCUCUCAGAAGCAUUAAGAAGCUCCUCUCCAUAGACUACUAUUUCACACAUGCCUGUCCACCAGGUAACUAUAUAGUUCUUCUGCAUUUACACAUGGAAAAUGACAGUCACAUGAUUGUUCAGACCCUUCAGAGUACCCCAUUUGUUGCGGAGCAGAAAUAAUGGAUCUACCACUUCUUUCAUAGCACUACCUUAUGUUUGCGCUAUCCUAUUGAAGUAGGCUUGAGAGGAUAACAGAUAUUUCCCUGACUUUACUUUUGUUUUCAUAUUAAAUGCUUAGAUUCAGGUCAUUUGUUUGUCCAAAACUUAAUCUGAGAUUGUAUUGUUCUAUCUUUUUCAAGGAUGGCUCGUGCAAUGGCUUACAACACUAUGCUGCCCUUGGAAGGGACAAGGUAGUGGAAUUUUCCGCUUUUGGUUGAUCGUUGUGGAGUUCUAAUUAUGUGAUAUGGAAGCAUGGUUUUUGAUUAGUUAGGCAUAGCUUUUCACUCUUUUUCUGCUUUGAGGCUAAAUUUGUCUCAACUUUGAUCUUCUCUCAUUUUGAUAGGAAAAAAAUGAACUUUGUUAAGGAAAGAUAGUACGAGGAUAAGGAACUAGAAAUUGAAACCCAAGAAAGAAACCAAACUUUGUUUGAGUUUGGUGCAGUUUAUUUAAUUUGAUUUUUUUAAGUCA